GCCGGGUUAGCUCAGCGGUAGAGCAGCGGUUUUGUAAACCGAAGGUCGGGGGUUCAAUCCCCUCACCCGGCACCA
rnacentral:tRNA from 5 species